UUGGACAAACUGGGGGCUCUAGAUCCUAGGGAGGAGCCAGAUGCAUCUGAGAAUCCACAUUUUUUGUGUGUGUCUCCCACAGCCACACUCAUCUUUCGUCUGCCUCACUGGCCCAGCUGUGUGCAUCUCUAAGCCCUCAGAGGUCCUUGCUCCCUCCAGGAAGCGGCGGACAUUGCCGGGCUUCUGCCGCAGCGUGGGCGGUCAUCGCCUGCUCUCGUUGUCGUUCGCACUCUUCCGCCAAGAUCCUAAGCCUGGAGAAUGGGGACCGUUCUCACAGCCCAGCAGUGCCAGAUGUAGAAGUCUCAGCUAACCCUGCAGCACCGUAUCUGCCUGUCGCCUCUGGAUCCAGAUGUAGAAGUCUCAGCUGACCCUGCAGCACCAUAUCUGCCUGUCGCCUCUGGAUCCAGAUGUAGAAGUCUCAGCUGACCCUGCAGCACCAUAUCUGCCUCCAUGCUUCCUUACCACCAUGCCGACAAUGGACUAAACUUCUGAAGCUGUGAGCAUGCCCCAGCCAGGAAGCCAGAACCAGGAAGGUCCUGGACAGUUCCUGCGUGCUAUUCCUCCACGUACAAAGCCGACUGCCCCACUGCAACUUUGCUAACUUAGUCCGCUCCGGCCCAGCCUGCCCCGAAGCACAGUGACGGUGAAAACGUGUUGACAGUGGAAAAUCAUUUCCACGACAGCCUAAGUGCUGGAAAGCACAAAGGAGAUCCCCGUCGGCCCGCGAUCGCUAGGAAGUUGCUGUGUGCAGGACGCCUGUGCCAGGUCCAGGUGAGGAGUCCCCGCACCACGGGUUCGCCCUCCCCUUCUUGGACGUUCAGGGGCUCCACCUCACUUUGGAAGCAAUUCACCACAACGCACAACCCGCCCCGUUCUUUUUUUCCAGGAGGUGGGGACUCUUUUAUUUUCCAGCCAGGUCCCUCUUGGGGGCAGGAGAGGAAGCGCACUCCACAUUUCCAGCAAGAGGGGAGGCAGGCUGGGGGGUGGGGAGGAAAGAGGUCAGAAAGGAACCAAACUGCCUCCCUUCCUCCCACCUCUGCGCCCCGGAGCGCCAGUUCCGACCACGCACACCGGUGGCAACCAGGAAACUCGGUCCCUUUAAGGGAACGGUGGCCGCCAGAAGAGGAGGAGGGAAGGACCGGGGCUCCGGACUCCGCGCGGCUGGCUCCCCGAGAGGGGGCGAACGCCGAAAAGCCACCAUCGUUACCUGCGGCGACCACAGCCUUCCCCCACCCCAGCGUCCCCAGCCCGCGCUCGCCUCCCAAGGAGACUUCUUAAUCCCAGCUCUCUAACAGGGGAGGAGGUGGGGAGGAAGAGGAACCGGCUCUUUUUAAAAAUAAAUGAAACAUUUGCAC